GACCAAAUCUGCCAUUAAAAAAAAGGAAUAAAAACGAAUGAAUGAAUGCACACAUAAAUAAAUGCAUAAACAGAUAAAUCCGCACAAAUAGAUAACAUUUAAAUAAUUAAUCCCACUUUCAUUUUAUUCAUUUCUAUAAUUUUUUCAUUGUUGUAUUUCUUCCUCCAAUUUGAUGAGGGGGUGUCAAGCAAAUUUAUGUGGGUAGUAUCUAACACACAAUUGGGUGAUCAAUGCCACAACGCUUUGCGUGACUGCAUUUGCCUGGGCUGCAUUCAGUAUGACAGAACGGUGUUCAUCAAAGGCCAUGUUUCACAUUAGCACACCACAAAUAAUAAUUUGUAACGCAUAUAGCAAUAUAUGUCACCUUUUGUUGUGAUUUUUUUUGGUAAAAAAAUAUUUAUCACACCAUAAAAACAAUAAAAUAACAAAUGAAUAUUGUCCUUGCUUGACGUAGAAACAUGUGAACAGUUUUGACACACUGAGUCAGGUGGCUGUGUUAUGAGUGGAUUGCUUUUGAGAAUAAGGCACCGGACUACAGACAUAUAGUUUUUAACCUAGAAAACCGGAGUAGGCAAGGUGUCGUCGACCGGGAUUUGCCAGAAAAUGAGUGUCAAGCUAGUUAGCUACAACUGAUAAAGUUGAGUUUUACACUUAGCUAGAUAAUGAACUAUACUGCAAUUAUCAUAAAACAUUAUAUAGCUAGCUACGGUAGCUAAAUAUCAGAUGUAAAGGAAGCAGGACCGUGGCAUGUGUCAGAAGCAAUGCAUGUUGGCUAGCUCAUAUUAGCUAGAUCACUUAUUAAGCAAUAGAGUGAAUACUUAAUAGGGUUGUCAUUUAGCUAGCUACAGUAGCCACCUAGGCUAAUUCUCAACAUCAUCCAUCUUUGAAGCAGUUCAGUUGCAAAAUUAGGUCUCAACAAUCACAUGCAUCUAAGCUAGCAGCUAGAGGAGGAGGAUGCCAUGAUGGAAUAAGUCACCUAUGUGAAGCUAGCCAUAAUUGUGGAAUUUGCUUUUCGCCUUAGCAAUUGUUAGUGAGAUGAGACGUGGUGCCAUAAUAUAAAUAGCUUAGUUAGCUAUAAAUUAAUGUAUGCUAUGUAAUUUGUCGUAGCCGAUAUAACAAAAUGGCAUGCAUAUUUUUAAAUAGUCUAAUUUACAGACAUGAAUGAUGUAGGCAAACUGAUACAUAAAUCCUAUAUACAGGUGCUAUUUUCUUUUGUUAAUCACUGCAGGGUUGUCAUCUGAUCUCUUGGAGCCUGGUGGAGAUAGAUAUGCAACCAUACUACAAGGCAGGACAUUUCCCUGAAUCCAGGUUGAGGCUUGCUACCAGCAGAAACAUGGCGCACUCCGUGUCAGUGCUAUAGAGACAGAAUGGUCCUCCAGAGCCUUCUGAACAACUACCUGCGAUCUCUCCAGAGCAGAGAAGUGAGUCUGCUGGGCUAUGGAACUUUAGAGCAGCACAUCAAAAAAAUCUGCCACCCUCUUGUCAGCUAUCUGCAGACAGUUCCCUGUGGAAGGAUGCAACUAUCAAGGCUUUCAAAGGCCACAUUUUGGGAGAUGACCAAAUGCAAUAAAGUUUUGUAUAAACAAAUUGA